rnacentral:rRNA from 1 species
CUCAACUCCGGAGGUGCAGAGGAUACUGGAAGACUGGAGACCGGUAGAGGCUAGCGGAAUUCCUGGUGUAGCGGUGGAAUGCGUAGAUAUCAGGAAGAACACCUGUGGCGAAGGCGGCUAGCUGGGCCGGGUCUGACGCUCAUCCGCGAAAGCGUGGGGAGCAAACAGGAUUAGAUACCCUGGUAGUCCACGCCGUAAACGAUGGGCACUAGAUGCCGGGUCUAUAGACGGAUUCGGUGUCGAAGCUAACGCAUUAAGUGCCCCGCCUGGGGAGUACGGCCGCAAGGCUGAAACUCAAAGGAAUUGACGGGGGCCCGCACAAGCGGUGGAGCAUGUGGUUUAAUUCUAAGCAACGCGAAGAACCUUACCUGGGUUUGACAUGCACGCGAAACCCUCUGGAAACAGGGGGCCCUCUUCGGAGCAC